rnacentral:rRNA from 1 species
UACGUAGGGUCCGAGCGUUGUCCGGAAUUAUUGGGCGUAAAGGGCUCGUAGGCGGUCUGUUGCGUCGGGAGUGAAAACUUACAGCUUAACUGUGAGCGUGCUUUCGAUACGGGCAGACUUGAGGCAUUCAGGGGAGAACGGAAUUCCUGGUGUAGCGGUGAAAUGCGCAGAUAUCAGGAGGAACACCGGUGGCGAAGGCGGCAUCCUGGACCGGCAUUGACGCUGAGGAGCGAAAGCCAGGGGAGCAAACGGG